rnacentral:rRNA from 1 species
UACGUAGGGCGCAAGCGUUGUCCGGAAUUAUUGGGCGUAAAGAGCUCGUAGGCGGUCUGUUACGUCUGCUGUGAAAUCCCGGGGCUUAACCCCGGGCGUGCAGUGGAUACGGGCAGGCUGGAGGCAGGCAGGGGAGAACGGAAUUCCCGGUGUAGCGGUGAAAUGCGCAGAUAUCGGGAGGAACACCGGUGGCGAAGGCGGUUCUCUGGGCCUGUACUGACGCUGAGGAGCGAAAGCGUGGGGAGCGAACAGG